UACGAAGGGGGCUAGCGUUGCUCGGAAUCACUGGGCGUAAAGGGUGCGUAGGCGGGUCUUUAAGUCAGGGGUGAAAUCCUGGAGCUCAACUCCGGAACUGCCCUUGAAACUGCAGUGCUAGAAUCCUGGAGAGGCGAGUGGAAUUCCGAGUGUAGAGGUGAAAUUCGUAGAUAUUCGGAAGAACACCAGUGGCGAAGGCGGCUCACUGGCCCGAUACUGACGCUGAGGUGCGAAAGCGUGGGGAGCAAACAGG
rnacentral:rRNA from 1 species